UACGUAGGGUGCAAGCGUUGUCCGGAAUUAUUGGGCGUAAAGGGCUCGUAGGCGGCCUGUUAAGUCGAACGUGAAAUCCCCGGGCUCAACCCGGGAACUGCGUCCGAUACUGGCAGGCUUGAAUCCGGGAGAGGGAUGCGGAAUUCCAGGUGUAGCGGUGAAAUGCGUAGAUAUCUGGAGGAACACCGGUGGCGAAGGCGGCAUCCUGGACCGGCAUUGACGCUGAGGCGCGAAAGCCAGGGGAGCAAACGGG
rnacentral:rRNA from 1 species